UACGUAGGGGCAAGCGUUGUCCGGAAUUAUUGGGCGUAAAGAGCGCGUAGGCGGUCCGAUAAGUCGGCUGUGAAAGUCAGGGGCUCAACCCUUGGAAGCCGGCCGAUACUGUCGGACUAGAGUCCGGAAGAGGCGAGUGGAAUUCCCGGUGUAGCGGUGAAAUGCGCAGAUAUCGGGAGGAACACCAAUGGCGAAGGCAGCUCGCUGGGACGGUACUGACGCUGAGGCGCGAAAGCGAUGGGGAGCAA
rnacentral:rRNA from 1 species